rnacentral:ncRNA from 1 species
UAUUAAUUAACCUUGUCAAAACUGGUACGGACAAGGGCAAUCCAACUAUUUAAUUAAAACAAAGCAUUGUGAUGGUCCCUGCAGAUGCUAACACAAUGUGAUUUAUGCCCAAUGUUUUGCAUGUCAAAGUGAAGAAAUUCAUCCAAGAACGGGUAAAUGAUGGGAGUAACUAUGACUCUCUUAAGGUAGCCAUAUGCCUCUACGUCAUCUAAUUAGUGACGGGCAUGAAUGGAUUAACAAGAUUCCCAUUGUCCCAAGCUACUAUCUAGAGAAACCAUGGCAAAGGGAACAAGCUUGCCAAAAUUAGAGGGGAAAGAAGACCCUGUUGAGAUUGACUCUAGUCCAACUUUGUGAAAUGUCUUGAGAGGUGUAGAAUAAGUGGGAGUUAUUUUCAUCGCAAGUGAAAUACCACUACGUUUAACAUUAUUUUAAUUAUUUCAUGGGGUAGAGAUGAGGCAUUGCACAUAUGUUAAAAUAAAAUGCAAAUUUCCUUUGUAUUGCUUUGUAUUUCCAAGACAUAACCUUCUUCAUUUAUUGGAUUGAAAUUUUGUACCAUUUCCAAAGGCAUUUUCCAUAUUUGGUUGAGAGGACAAAUUUUGUCCCUAUUUGUUAUUGCCUCUCUAUUUUCAUU